rnacentral:rRNA from 1 species
GACAGAGGGUGCCAACGUUUCUCGGAAUCACUGGGCGUAAAGGGCGUGUAGGCGGGAAGGUAAGUCGGGCGUGAAAUCCCUGAGCUCAACUCAGGAACUGCACUCGAAACUACUUUUCUUGAGUGCCGGAGAGGAAAGCGGAAUUCCUGGUGUAGAGGUGAAAUUCGUAGAUAUCAGGAGGAACACCAGUGGCGAAGGCGGCUUUCUGGACGGUAACUGACGCUGAGACGCGAAAGCGUGGGGAGCAAACAGG